rnacentral:misc_RNA from 1 species
AAUUCUCAACUCUCCUAUACUGUUUUGUAUAGGAGGGCUUGGAUUGUGGAGGUCUGCUGGCCACUUGUAUGAGGUCAGCUCCUCUGAAAUGCAUUAGCGGAACCGUUUGCGAUCUGCCACAAGUGUGAUAAAUUAUCUACACUGGCGAGGGGAUUGCUCUCUGUAUUGUUCAGCUUCUAAUUGUCUCCACUUUGUGGGACUACUUUUGAAU